ensembl:snRNA U6 U6 spliceosomal RNA
GUGCUCGCUUCAGCAGUACAUAUACUAAAUCUGGGAUGACUCAAAGAAGAUUAACAAGGCCCCUGUGUAAGGAUGACACACCAAUUCAUGAGGCAUUCCGUAUUUUU